rnacentral:lncRNA from 1 species
ACAAGUGUUGGACAGCCGGAGUCAGUCCCCAUGGAGACUAUCUUUGAUAACAGAUUUCUUUUGGGGAAUAGCUGAGUUUGUGGUUUUGUUGUAAGUAUACUAGUGUUCUUAGUUGCUCUGAUGUUUAAGUUGACUGAAGUAUAUUAGUAUAUUAUGUGGCAUAUCUUCAGCUUAGCUCUCCUGAAGCAGUUAAUUGUAAUUUUCAAAUCAUUUUUGGUAAGGGCAGUUGAGAUUCAUUUAAUGAUAAAGCUGCCACCACCAAACAUCUUCCAAUUAAGUUAGCUGGGUUCGCUUAACUUUGUAACCAUUUCAAUCUGCAGCCAGGCCUGUCAAUUCUGUUGUCAAAUGACUAUGCUUUGCAUUCUGUCUACUGAUUCCUUUUAUUCUACAUUAUGUGUAAUAACUGAAUAAGGAGAAUUUUUAUCCUGGUUUUUUUUAAAAAAACCCAAAUCCUAAGUAGUUAACUUUUUAAAAUAAAGACAGAAUUGAUGCAAAGAAGACAACAAUUUAAACUUCCUCAAUAAUUUCAAGCAAUUCUUAUUUAAGUGCAUUUUUGGUCUUUCAUGUGCUUGUUUUAUGAGAACUACUAAUAAGUCUUAUGGUACGUUUGAAUGUGUAUUUGACUGUCUUGUAAAGUACUUGCAGAGUUGCAAAAUCAUGGGAGACAGUUCCUUCUUCAUAUUGCAAGGGGUAGCAGGAUUGGCGUGAUUAUGGAUGUUGGACAUCAGUGGAAGUUAUUCCAUGUGGAGAAAACCAUAUGCAGGUUGACAGAGGAGUGUGAAUAUCGAGCUGUGGGCUUCAUACUUAGUUUGCUUGUAGUUGUGGUCUAGAAAGCUCAAUUUUAUGGCUGCAUGGAACAUAAAUAAAAAGGGGUAGAGUAUAAAAUGAAAGAGAGAGUUCCAUAGAAAAAUUCAGCUAGACACAGGUGAGGUCCUAAAUUAUGUGCAAAACUCAUUUAAAGUGUUUUACAUAUCCCAACUACUCCAUAUCCAUUUACUGUUUUAUUCUUAAAUUUACUGUUAAAUCCUUCUUCUUCACAAAUAAAGAAAAUUCCCUUUCAAUGGAGUUCCAGAAGCCCUGUGCCUCUGCCACACCACUGUCACCCCAUUCCUUCCCAAGAUAAUGUUAGGCAAAGGCUGUUGGCAGGGGAAAGGCAGGGGUGAGGAAGGUGAGACACUAUGAAAACGGACUCUGGUACCUGACACUUGAUGUAGAGUGGAGGAAGGAAAUCAGAGAGGACUCUAGUUUCAUGCUCAGUCUCAGGGAAUUAUUAGCAAAUAAGUGUGGGUUUGGCAGAAAACAUAAUACUUAAUUGAGACACAUGUAUAAGCUAGAUCCUGUAGACCUGUGGGUGCAAGAAAUGUAGGUUUGGCACUACUGACUAGCUUUAUACAUCUUUUCACAAAAAUGAUAGUUAAAACCAUGGAAAUAUAUUUUUAAUGUGGUCAAAAGUGAUACCUCAGUUGUUUUCUGUUCUUUGUUUCAGUUUUAAAACUCUGCUUCAGCAAGAUGUGAAAAAAAGAAGAGGCUAUGGAAACUCAUCCGAUUCCAGAUAUGAUGAUGGAAGAGGGUAUGGCUUUUUAAAAUUGAUAAUAGUUGUUUAUUAUAAUUGCAUUACAUAUUUUGGGUGAAGUUAGACUAGUGGAAGUUAACAGUUAAAUUCCAUUUCACAAAAAAUUGAUGAAUUACUGUAAAUCAAAAAUCAUGUUGCCUCUGAUUUGAUAAACAGUUGAUUUGGCAAAGCUAAAGUAUACAUUCAACAUCCUACGGGAGCCUGGUGUGAUGGUGCACACCUAUAAUCCCAGCAGCUCAGGAGGUUGAAGCUGGGGGAUCACAAGUUCAGUCUCAGCAAUUUAGCGAGGCUGUAAGCAAUUCAGAGAGACCCUGUCUUUACAUAAAAUAUAAAAAAGGGCUGGGGCUAUAGCUCAGUGGUUAAGUAACCCUGAGCUUAGUCCCCGGUUUCCCACCCCCCCAAAAAAAAUCCUACAGGAAAAGUCGAAAUUAGAAGAUGAAAACUGAUGGCUAACAUUAAAGAUUUCAAUUUACAGUAUAAAUUUCCAUCUGCUAAUGAAAAUCUCAGAAGGUCAGAUAGCAUGGGCUGGGUUUUUGUUUCCACGUGGUAGAAAUCAGCCUGAGUUGCUGGAGGCUUGUUCAUCCUAAUCCUGGCUUGACUGUUUCCUCACUUGCAUUAGGUCUCUAGUUCCUAUAAGUAUUUGAAUUUUCAACUCCUGAUCCAAAUGGUAGUUCCUAUUUUAAAGACUCUUUAAGGAUCAUGUGAUGAUUGAAAAAUGAAAGGGUCUAGUUAAAUGUUCGAAGGAAUCCAUUGAAAUUAUGUCUACUAAAGAGUAGAUACUAACUUUGUCUUUUACCAGGCCACCAGGAAACCCUCCCCGAAGAAUGGGUCGAAUCAAUCAUCUUCAGGGCCCUAGCCCUCCCCCAAUGGGUGGUGGAUGAGGAAGGUAACUUAAAAUCUGAAAUUAUUUUCUAAGCUUUUAUUUUGAAAAUGUCUCCUUAGGAAUAUUUCCUUUAGGAAAACUUAAGUCAUUCAACAUUUUAUAAUUACUCAGACAUUGUUUGGGAAAAUAUUUCUCUCUUAACCCCUGGGCAGUUUGUCAACUUUGUUAUCAAAGUAUCUUUUGAGAAAGGUAUUAUAAUCCCAUGUAACAUGUUGAGCUUUAUAUAGGUCCAAUUGAAUAACUGGUAACUAAUAUUACAACCUUUCUUUUAGGUAAACGUCUGCUCUAAGAAGCAGACAACUAAACGUACACAUUCAUAGAAGAAGGAAACCAUUAAGAAGUGGAGGGCUACCAUGCUAGACAAGUGGAGGAAUGUGUACGUCUAAAUAAGGAUUGCUCUGUGUCCUCACAGAUCAAUGAGGUCACGCUGGGAAUUCCCUCUGCAGGGAUCUGGCCUGACUGACAUGCAAUUCCAUAAAUGCACAUGUUUGUCUCAUUAUCUUUUUUGUAUAGUUUAUUAAAGUAUUAAUAUAGUUUUAAUAAGUAAAUAUUUUUAGGUUGUAAAACUGGUUCCUCAUCUUUAUAUAAUUAAUCAUAAAACACUCUAAACCUGAAGAAAAUAAAGGCUGCAUAUUCAGUGCUUGUGUCCCUUUUUUCAAUUGUACAUGGUUAAUUUGUUCUUGUGUUUAUUUCAGUAGUAUGCAUAAAAUCUGUG